rnacentral:lncRNA from 1 species
GAAUCUCACAACAUAUGUUUGGAUAGCACUUCCCAGCCUACAACGCACUUUCUCAGGGAUUCUCAAACUUCCUCCCACCUCACAUCCUUUUAAGGCAAGUGAGUGUGGGAACUCUGGUUCAGGGAAGUUAAAUCACUUGCCUAAGGUCAUGCAGAUCAUUAAUGCCAUAGCCAAGACCUGAGCACGUUCUCCUAAAGCCAGGUCAGGCCUCUUGUCACAUACUCCAUUGACUCUAGUGCCUAACCCAUGCUCAUCACAGAGCUCACAUUGGAACCAUUGUUAAACAGACUCUAAUGGAAAUGACUUCGUUCAGCUGGUGAACAUUUUGGAAGAUUCCAGAAAAACAUGAACAAGUGUUUGAGUGCUCUUAAGGGGAUUGUCUAAUAUCUUGGCUCCUGACUCAUCCUUAGAAGUCUUCCAGCCACCUUGUACCCAUUUCAAGCCCAAGGGCUCUUUAACGUAAAUGAGUUACUGAGCAGAGUGUUGCUGGAGAUGGCCACUGGAGAGGCUGAGUCAAAUCAAUCUCCUCACCUGAGGACUUCCUAAGACCAGCGCACUGAAGGACCAGCAGCAACAACAACAAUAAUGCUAAUGCUCCCUUAUGGACAAGACUGCAAUUCUCUGCCUGCUGAAGCUCAGCUAUGACCACGUGACUUGCCUUGGCCAAUGAAAGAGGAAGAGUAUGUAACACUGCUGAAUGGAAGCAAGUGGCCCCUGCCCCUGCUGCAGAGAUUCUAGACAUGUGUGCCAUGCUGGAGCAAGGAGACAGGGAGUCCUGGAGAAAGGAGACAUGGAACAGAGCUCCCAGCCCAGUCAAUAUGUAACAUGAGUGAGAAAUAAAUAACACUUUGUUGCUAGAAGUUUUUUUUAAACUGAAGUAUAACUCAGCUUCCCCUGACCCAUGCAGAAAGUCAUCUAUCAAUGUUAAGUAUCACUAAAUUUAUUUUACAGAAGAAGAAUCUAAAGCUCAGAGUAGUGGUCUCAAUAUCACUCAGCAAUUAUGUGAUGGAAGCAUACUGAAGGCCCACGUUUUAAAGUGGACACCAAGGGGAAUAUAGCAUAAAUAGAAAUUUUCUAACUGCAGGGAAUUCUUGCUAUACAACUGCAAAGAAUAGGCCCCACUACUUCCUAGCUGUGCCUCAAUUUCCUGAUCAGUUAAAUGGGACUAAUAAAAGAGCAGCUAGUGGCUGGGUGCGGUGGCUCACGCCUGUAAUCCCAGCACUUUGGGAGGCCGAGGCGGGCAGAUCAAGAGGUCAGGAGAUCGAGACCACAGUGAAACCCCGUCUCUACUAAAAAUACAAAAAAUUAGCUGUGCGCAGUGGCGGGUGCCUGUAGUCCCAGCUACUCGGGAGGCUGAGGUAGGAGAAUGUCGUUAACUCGGAAGGCGGAGCUUGCAGUGAGCCGAGAUCGCGCCACUGCACUCCAGUCUGGGCGACAGAGGGAGACUCUGUCUCAAAAAAAACGACAACAACAAAAAAAAAAAAAAAAAAAAAAAAGAAAGAGUAGCUAGUGCAAGAGAUGGAGAAGGGAUUAAAUGAAAAUACAUGUAAAUUGCUCAUAAGAUUAUCUAGAAUAAACCGAACAUUCAAAAAUGUUAGUUACUAUUAUUAUUAACAAUUGCUAUUAUAAUCCUAAUAUCACCUGUUUCUCAUCAGUCGGUGGAUACAAGCAAUUACAUUUACAUAAAUAUGUAAAGCAAUAAAGCCAAACCAGAGACUCCUAA